rnacentral:rRNA from 1 species
GACGAACACUGGCGGCGUGUCUAAUACAUGCAAGUCGACCUUAGUGGCGAACGGGUGAGUAACACGUGGGGAACCUGCCCAUAAGAAGGGGAUAACACUUGGAAACAGGUGCGAAUACCGUAUACUGAUGGAUGGAACCGCGGUGCAUUAGCUAGUAGGUGAGGUAACGGCUGCCCAAGGCCACGAGGCAUAUCCGACCUGAGAGGGUGAGCUGCCACAUUGGGACUGAGACACGGCCCAAACUCCUACGGGAGGCAGCAGUAGGGAAUCUUCGGCAAUGGACGAAAGUCUGACCGAGCAACGCCGCGUGAGUGAAGAAGGUUUUCGGAUCGUAAAACUCUGUUGUUAGAGAAGCGGUAUCUAACCAGAAAGCCCCGGCUAACUACGUGCCAGCAGCCGCGGUAAUAC